UCAUCAGUGUGUCUCUUGUUGCAGGGAUCAAAGUCUGCCGCUAGAGGGAAGAUUUUUAGAAGAACGUUUCUGGCCGACCUCCCACCUGAUUGGAUGAAGAGGAUGAAGAGGAGACUAAAUCAGUGAUCUAAAAGUCUGAACUUUGUGUCUGGACUUUGGGCUGACUGGUUGUUUGAAAACCAUGUUGAGUAUAAUGAUCUGUAGCUCUUUUUGUGACAGCUUGAUUUGGAUACUUAUGGAUAAAACAAAUGUAAAUGAUAAGAUUUGUUAGUGACAUAAGAUGAUGAAGUCAACUCAGCCU